ACAUUAUUCAGUUUACCAUCAACAUUAAAACCUUUCGUAACUCAGCUAAGAAAAUAAAUAAGUUUUGAAAACUUAGAAAUUUUUCCUUUUUUCGUGUAGCCCGAUUAAUCUCUUACCAAAUCACCAUGUGCAGUUGGCCUUGCUAUCCCGCUGCCUGUAUUGGUUCCUGCGGUGGAUGCGCGCCGAGUGGUUUCUAUGAUCCCAGCUAUGGGUCAAUGGCUGGGCCCGUUUGCGGCCUGGGUGGCUCUUGUUGUGGCUGCUGGGGUAGCUGCUGGUGAUUGCAUGUUGAUUAUGUUCCCAUGCUUUCCAUGUUUGUCCUGAAAGAACUGAGAUAUACAUGGCAUGGUUGAGGCGGUUAUGCAGAUUUGGCUUGCAGAAGAAAACCAGGAAGAAUUCUAGGCUCAAUUGACUUUCAAAAUUAUUUAUAAACCUAUUAGCGCUCGGUAAUCUGGCGCUUCAACAGCUUUGAUCAGUAUAUAAGGUUUAUGUUAACAUAGACAAAAAGAAAAUAAAACCAUACUUUGACUCAUAAACUG